rnacentral:rRNA from 1 species
GAGUUUGAUCAUUCCUCAGAACGAACGCUGGCGGCAGGCCUAACACAUGCAAGUCGAGCGGUAGAGAGGUGCUUGCACCUCUUGAGAGCGGCGGACGGGUGAGUAAAGCCUAGGAAUCUGCCUGGUAGUGGGGGAUAACGCUCGGAAACGGACGCUAAUACCGCAUACGUCCUACGGGAGAAAGCAGGGGACCUUCGGGCCUUGCGCUAUCAGAUGAGCCUAGGUCGGAUUAGCUAGUUGGUGAGGUAAUGGCUCACCAAGGCGACGAUCCGUAACUGGUCUGAGAGGAUGAUCAGUCACACUGGAACUGAGACACGGUCCAGACUCCUACGGGAGGCAGCAGUGGGGAAUAUUGGACAAUGGGCGAAAGCCUGAUCCAGCCAUGCCGCGUGUGUGAAGAAGGUCUUCGGAUUGUAAAGCACUUUAAGUUGGGAGGAAGGGCAUUAACCUAAUACGUUAGUGUUUUGACGUUACCGACAGAAUAAGCACCGGCUAACUCUGUGCCAGCAGCCGCGGUAAUACAGAGGGUGCAAGCGUUAAUCGGAAUUACUGGGCGUAAAGCGCGCGUAGGUGGUUCGUUAAGUUGGAUGUGAAAUCCCCGGGCUCAACCUGGGAACUGCAUUCAAAACUGUCGAGCUAGAGUAUGGUAGAGGGUGGUGGAAUUUCCUGUGUAGCGGUGAAAUGCGUAGAUAUAGGAAGGAACACCAGUGGCGAAGGCGACCACCUGGACUGAUACUGACACUGAGGUGCGAAAGCGU